ensembl:lncRNA
AAGAAAAAAAAAAGUACUAAGUGUUUUUUUGCAAACUUCUCCAAGCUGUCAUUGAGAAUGGGGGGAAUUUGGGGGGGGGGGUUAAAGGAGAACACCGGUGGUCUUUUUGUUGUCUUUAUUUCUAGUUGUGCUAACAAUGCUGUGUUCCCCCUCGGAUUUCUGUUUUUUUUGUUUUUUUUCCUACACACAUUCUCGUUGAGUCCGAAAAAACCCACUUCCACAUUUCUACAUCGACGGUCCACUUCCUGUUGAACAGCCUCACACAGGAAGUCACCCCGCCAAAAUAAGUUGCCUUAGUGCAGACGAGAAGAGAGCGUGGACACGGCUGUUCUUUUUGCGACGAUGAUGCCAUCAAGUUAUUUUCUAAUAAGCUGAUUUUCUGGACAUGAAAUCAAUGUUUCGGUUCAGUUACACACUUCAUAUCUGAUUCCUUCCUGACGUCAUUUAAUGAUCGCAAGAAAAGACAAUAUUCACGCUGUGAAUGUGCUAAAAAAAAAAAAAAAAAAAGCGAACAAGUCAACAGAAGUGUGCCAUGCAAAAUGUAUUCGGGGAACAACAGUCGCCAGUGGCACCGGUAUUCUCCUUUUUUGAGGGACUUUUGUGGUUAAACAAUCUUGCUCUUGAUAUUAAUAUUGGUCAGAUCUGUAAGAUAAAUGAUGCUUUGUGAAUUUGUACAAUUUCUUUGUGUUUGGUUUGCAUUGGCCGGACAAUGGAUGCCAUUGCUUCAUGGUGUAUCAUCUGAUAUUUUUGUGUUUAGCUCUUUUUUUUUUUUUGCAUUGUUUUUCUCGUCAGUUCCUCUUCUCUUAUUGGCUGACAGGGACGCUGCCUUAAACUAGCUUUAAUGUUCUCAGCUAGAGCCCCACUCUCUGCGAGCUCAGAGAGAGUCCUUAUUUAUUACCCCGCAAAACAACAGCUGACUAACGCAGGGACGGAAAGCUACCGAAAAAACAGCCCGGAAAACUCCCCUUGUAACACCUCGCUACGGAUUCCUGAUCUAAUUUGGAAAAUUGGGGGUGGACGUUCAUUUCGGAUGAGAGAGGAAGAAUUCGUCACAAUCCAACAGGUGCCGCUUGUACCCAACAACACGCCUGCCUAAGCCUGGUAAAGUUGUCCUUAAAAGUGUAACUGAUAGUAUUUGUGUUUUUAAUUGCUUUCUUUUUCUAAUUUUGCACUGUGUGUAAAUGCAAUCUUGCUAGCACAAAAAAAAAAUGUUGCCAAUAGUUGUCUCAACUUUGCCGCUGUAAAUGCUCUUUCUGUUCCUCUCGCUCUUUCUGAUUGUAUCCCUCUUCAUGGAAAUGUUAGUUCUCUCUUUCAGUUCAUUGUGAUAUAUUUAGCUGCCUUUAUAUGCAAAUAAAAUUGCAAGAUUUUUACUUAUCAUGUUCAGUCUGUUUUUCAGCCAAAGCCAGUGAUGUUGUGAUUCAUAUGAAAGUCCAU